AGUCAUAGCUAGUCCAAACUAUACCUUUUUGGAAUCUUCAUGAUAACGCAUAACAUGAUAUAGUUUUCAAUAUGGCUGGAGCAUUUUUAAGUUUUGACCUCUGUGUAAUUCCUCAGUUAACCCCGACCUGGCUGCCUCUUUAAAAUUCAA